UACGGAGGGUGCGAGCGUUGUCCGGAAUCACUGGGCGUAAAGGGCGCGUAGGCGGCAUGCCAAGCGUGUGGUGAAAGCCCGGGGCUCAACCCCGGGUCGGCCGUGCGGACUGGCGUGCUCGAGCACUGUAGGGGCGGGUGGAAUUCCGGGUGUAGCGGUGGAAUGCGUAGAGAUCCGGAAGAACACCAAUGGCGAAGGCAGCUCUCUGGGACGGUACUGACGCUGAGACGCGAAAGCGUGGGGAGCGAACAGG
rnacentral:rRNA from 1 species